rnacentral:misc_RNA from 1 species
CACGCAAGCUCUCACACACAUACGUAUAUACGCGACUCACAGAGCAGCGCCUGCCCCCCUCCCCCUAAAAAAAGAAAAACGGGCAGACGACCGCCACCGGCAUGCCAGCACGAUCACCGCUACCUCAUCUCCUUUUACCCCGGCCCCAUCCCAGCGCUCCUCGCCAAAGAUGUACCGCGCGCACAGCAAGGACAUCAACCGGAACAAAAGUUUCCAUCCCUUGACGUACCGCAACUUGCGCCGCGUCGAGCAGCUCAAGGAGGAGGCCGAGCUCAACAAGCAGAAGGCAGAGGAGCGGCAGAAGGAGCUGCAGCGCGAUCAGGAAGAACGUCGUUACGAUGAGCUGGUGCUGGCAAACUCAGCGGACUCGCUCAGCGGCGAGCUGGCACGCUACCGACAGACGCGCAGCAUCUUCGCCGCCGAGUACGAGGCAGACGCCCAAGCAGCCAAGGAUGCGCCUGUAGCUUCACCGCACUCGCCACAAGUCAGCAAGCCGGAAGUGCAGCUGAAGACGUCCACCGGCGCGUCAUUCCCCGUAAACAGCUUCCUCAGGAAGUUUAAGAAAGAGGAGUCCUACGGGUCGACGUGUGUGGUGAAAUCAGAAGCACGAGACGACACCGCCGCUGCUGCUUCUAGAACAGUCGCCUCCGUGGAGGCAGAGACGUCCAUGAGGAAGCGACCACGAGAUGACGCAAAAAGCAACAGUCCCUCUAGCACCCACAACGGCAGCGGCUAUGGUGCAGGUGCGACGAAGAGGAGAGGCGACGGUGACGAGAGUGCACCCGCUACUGGCUUUGUUACCAGCGCGGAAGCGGCGCAGCUACGAAAGGAGCUGAACCUGGCGCAGAAGCAGCGGCACGACCCACUCAUGCGAGUAAAGGAGUACCAGAACAGCUGCGUCGCCGCCGCCGCCGCUGCCAGGCAGCUGUCCCAUGAGCAAGCGACCGGUGCGGUGGCAAAGCACGAAGACGAUAAAGACAAGCUGCAGAGCCGCAUCCGCGAGCUGUUGGCUCUCAAGAAAAAAAAAGGAGAGCCACGAGGCGGAAGGUAUGCGUGACUACGUCCUCACUUUGUUUGACCGGAGAUGCGAGCGCCCCUGCUGCGUUGUGGACCCACCGGACCUCUCCAGUUGAAUUCGCUUCUCUGUGCGUUGGAUUCUUCCCCACCCCCACCCCUCUCACGACGACCUGCGCGCAGGCAGACAACACACCGGCCAUGCGCGAAAGGAAAAGAAGCACGCUAUUCAACAAAACG